rnacentral:rRNA from 1 species
GAUGAACGCUGGCGGCGUGCUUAACACAUGCAAGUCGAACGAGGUGCAAGGACGGAAGUUUUCGGACGGAAGAUCUUGUACUGAGUGGCGGACGGGUGAGUAACGCGUGGGAAACCUGCCCUGUUCCGGGGGAUACCAGUUGGAAACGACUGUUAAUACCGCAUAAGCGCACAGCACCGCAUGGUGCAGUGUGAAAAACUCCGGUGGAACAGGAUGGUCCCGCGUCUGAUUAGCUAGUUGGUGGGGUAACGGCCUACCAAGGCGGCGAUCAGUAGCCGGACUGAGAGGUUGAACGGCCACAUUGGGACUGAGACACGGCCCAG